rfam:Eucalyptus grandis cultivar BRASTZ1 unplaced genomic scaffold scaffold_5, whole genome shotgun sequence.
AUUGCCUUCGAAUAACCAGAGGGUGAAAUCAAUGUAAACGCCCUCUGGUUCAGACAGAGGCUGAAACUAAAAUGGGAAUCAGUUUGAGGGUGAGGAACGGUUUCCCGAUUGUUCUUUGCCUAGAUAGCUUCCCACAUCG